AGUGAACGCUGGCGGUAGGCCUAACACAUGCAAGUCGAACGGCAGCACAGGAGAGCUUGCUCUCUGGGUGGCGAGUGGCGGACGGGUGAGGAAUACAUCGGAAUCUACUCUGUCGUGGGGGAUAACGGAGGGAAGCUUACGCUAAUACCGCAUACGACCUACGGGUGAAAGCAGGGGACCUUCGGGCCUUGCGCGAUGGAAUGAGCCGAUGUCGGAUUAGCUAGUUGGCGGGGUAAAGGCCCACCAAGGCGACGAUCCGGAGCUGGUCUGAGCGGAUGAUCGGCCACACUGGAACUGAGACACGGUCCAGACUCCUACGGGAGGCAGCAGUGGGGAAUAUUGGACAAUGGGCGCAAGCCUGAUCCAGCCAUACCGCGUGGGUGAAGAAGGCCUUCGGGUUGUAAAGCCCUUUUGUUGGGAAAGAAAUCCAGCUGGCUAAUACCCGGUUGGGAUGACGGUACCCAAAGAAUAAGCACCGGCUAACUUCGUGCCAGCAGCCGCCGUAA
rnacentral:rRNA from 1 species